CAGUGAGCUUCUGGAAGGCAGGGACUGCAACUCUGUUCCUCUCUGUCCCCAUCGCCCAACAUGAAGCCUGAGCACAGCGGAUAUUUACUAAAUGAAUGGAGCUCUCCUGUCUAAAAGAGGAGUGAAAGAAAUUACAUCCAUGCAAACUGACUCACACUGCAGCUGCUGUCUGCAAGGAAAAAAAGGUGGAAAAAUAAGGCGCUGUCACUGAGCACUAAUAAGCUCAAUGGGAAAGAGUGAUAUCUUCCCUUGCAGAGCUUCUUAACAAUCUAGAAGAGCUGCCAGGAACCUAAGAGCACAGUCCAGAGCCUGCCUCUCAGACACAGGUUCCCACAGCAGCAGCACCCUUAGGAUCCUGUGAGCCUCGGACUGCACCGAGGAAGCAUGGUUCUGGAGAGGGGACGGGAUUUACCCAGGGCCGCCUACAGGAGCUGCAGUCUGAUCUCGCACUCCUGCCCAGGCUCUGGGAAUGCAGCCUGCAUUCUCACACAUACUCCUUAGUGGGCACAGACAAAGCAAAAGCAAAAACAGUCUCACAGUCUAACCUAUCUGCUCACAUGCACCUUACAAAUAUAUGUGAGAGGAGACAGAGAUUGUGUCUUUCGUGAACUGUGACUCACAUGGUCCUGAGGUCCCACAAACAGGCAUUAAGGUAACUGAAGAGCUUUUACUGCACCAAGCAGAUGACAAAACCAGCAGCAUGAGUUGAACUGACCAGUGCAUGGUAGCUCUCUCAGAGCCAGACACACUUUGCUGCACCUGUUGUGUGCAGAACUCUCCACAAGGCAGCCCAGAACAGGGAAGAGAACCCUGGAGCUGAACUGUGGCUCCUCCACUCACUACUUGUGUAAUAUUCUGAAUUCUAACCGCUCUAAGCCUGUUUCCUCAUCUAUACAAAAGACUGCACCGCCCAUUUCACAAAGCUGUGCCCACGUGGGGUGGCAUAUGUACCUGGCGUACAGCAAAGGUCAAAUGGUUUUGUUCAUUCCUGAGCAAGCAAAAUAAUUUAUGUAUACCGUAGAAAAAGGAAUGGAAAAAACAGCUACGCCCAAACUCUUGUAAAAUCUUAGUAUGAUAAAAUAGCAUCUUUUGAGGACGUACUAAAGCAUAAAGAAAUUCUGUAAGAAAUUUUUAGCGGCUGAGUAAUUUUAAGGCAGGAUGGGGGAAGGGAAAGCAGAGGGAGAGGAAAGGGAAAGGGAAAAGAGAAGAGCUGAAUUUGAAUCUCUCACUGUACUGGCAGGAGUCAAAAAAGAGUUAACAUGGACACAAAGACAAUGUUACACUAUGCCAACGGACAGAGGUGCUUCCUAAUUACUUAUAACUUUAUCUUCUCUGUCAAAGUCCUAUGCAACCUUUGAUACCUCACUUGCCUGAUGAUCUUUUCUGUUUCACUCAUUAGAAGGUCAAUUCAUAUUUCUUCUAUUAAUUCCUAUUAUUAUCGCACACACUGCACCGUGUCUGCUUGCUGGGCUCCCAUACCAACUCCCG
rnacentral:lncRNA from 1 species